ACUCAAAUGAAUUGACGGGGGCUCACACAAGCGGUGGAGUAUGUGGCUUAAUUCGAGGCUACGCGCAAAACCUUAUCCCGGGCUUGACAUGCACGGAUUAGCCGGCGGAAACGUCGGUGACGCCGCAAGGUGGAACGUGCACAGGUGCUGCAUGGCUGUCGUCAGCUCGUGCCGUGAGGUGUUGGGUUAAGUCCCGUAACGAGCGAAACCCCUGCCCUUAGUUGCCAGCACGUCAUGGUGGGGACUCUAGGGGGACCGCCGGCGUUAAGCCGGAGGAAGGCGGGGAUGACGUCAAGUCCUCAUGGCCCUUAUGCCCGGGGCUGCACACGUACUACAAUGGGCCGGACAGAGCGACGCCAACCGGCAACGGCGCGCCAAUCGCAGAAACCGGCCCUCAGUUCGGAUUGCGGGCUGCAACCCGCCCGCAUGAAGCUGGAAUCGCUAGUAAUCGCGGAUCAGCAUGCCGCGGUGAAUGGGUUCCUGAGCCUUGUACACACCGCCCGU
rnacentral:rRNA from 1 species